GACGAACGCUGGCGGCGUGCUUAACACAUGCAAGUCGAACGAUGACAACCGAACUUUCUCGGUCUGACUAGCGGCGAACGGGUGGGUAACACGUGAGCAACCUGCCCUUCGCUCUGGGAUAACCUCUGGAAAUCGCGGCUAAUACCGGAUAUGAGCUCCUGUCGCCUGGCGGGUGUUGGAAAGUUUUUCGGUGAAGGAUGGUCUGGCGGCCUAUCAGUUUGUUGGUGGGGUAGUGGCUCACCACGGCGAUGACGGGUAGCCGGCCUGAGAGGGCGAACGGCCACACUGGGACUGAGAGACGGACCAGACUCGUACGGGAGGCAGCAGUGGGGAAUAUUGCACAGUGGGCGAAAGCCUGAUGCAGCGACGCCGCGUGAGGGAUGACGGCCUUCGGGUUGUAAACCUCUUUCAGCAGGGAAGAAGCGAAAGUGACGGUACCUGCAGAAGAAGCGCCGGCUAACUACGUG
rnacentral:rRNA from 1 species